rnacentral:rRNA from 1 species
GACGAACGCUGGCGGCGUGCUUAACACAUGCAAGUCGAACGGAAAGGCCCUGCUUUUGUGGGGUGCUCGAGUGGCGAACGGGUGAGUAACACGUGAGUAACCUGCCCUUGACUUUGGGAUAACUUCAGGAAACUGGGGCUAAUACCGGAUAGGAGCUCCUGCUGCAUGGUGGGGGUUGGAAAGUUUCGGCGGUUGGGGAUGGACUCGCGGCUUAUCAGCUUGUUGGUGGGGUAGUGGCUUACCAAGGCUUUGACGGGUAGCCGGCCUGAGAGGGUGACCGGGCACAAUGGGGGAGAAAACACGGCAGAGAGCCCGAGGGGGGCAACCAGGGGGGAAUUUGGCACAAGGGGCGGAGGCUGAAGGCGGAAACCCGGGGGGGGGGAGGAGGCCGUUGGGGUGAUAACCACUUUGCGCCGGUGACAAGGCGGGGGGGAGGGGAAGGGUAAAAGAGGCACCGCCUAACUACGU